UACGUAGGGUGCGAGCGUUAAUCGGAAUUACUGGGCGUAAAGGGUGCGCAGGCGGUUAUAUAAGACAGAUGUGAAAUCCCCCGGGCUCAACCUGGGAACUGCGUUUGUGACUGCAAGGCUGGAGUACGGUAGAGGGGGAUGGAAUUCCGCGUGUAGCAGUGAAAUGCGUAGAUAUCGGGAGGAACACCUGCGGUGUAGACGGCUUCUGGACCAUUUGUUUGACGCUGAGACACGAAAGCGUGGGUAGCAAACAGG
rnacentral:rRNA from 1 species